GGGGGGCAAGCGUUGUUCGGAAUUACUGGGCGUAAAGGGCUCGUAGGCGGCCAACUAAGUCCGACGUGAAAUCCCAAAGCUUAACUUUGGAACUGCGUCGGAUACUGGAUGGCUUGAAUUCGGGAGAGGGAUGCAGAAUUCCAGGUGUAGCGGUGAAAUGCGUAGAUAUCUGGAGGAAUACCGGUGGCGAAGGCGGCAUCCUGGACCGACAUUGACGCUGAGGAGCGAAAGCUAGGGGAGCAAACGGG
rnacentral:rRNA from 1 species